GAUGAACGCUGGCGGCGUGCCUAAUACAUGCAAGUCGAGCGAACAGACGAGGAGCUUGCUCCUCUGACGUUAGCGGCGGACGGGUGAGUAACACGUGGAUAACCUACCUAUAAGACUGGGAUAACUUCGGGAAACCGGAGCUAAUACCGGAUAAUAUAUUGAACCGCAUGGUUCAAUAGUGAAAGACGGUUUUGCUGUCACUUAUAGAUGGAUCCGCGCCGCAUUAGCUAGUUGGUAAGGUAACGGCUUACCAAGGCAACGAUGCGUAGCCGACCUGAGAGGGUGAUCGGCCACACUGGAACUGAGACCCGGUCCAGACUCCUACGGGAGGCAGCAGUAGGGAAUCUUCCGCAAUGGGCGAAAGCCUGACGGAGCAACGCCGCGCGAGUGAUGAAGGUCUUCGGAUCGUAAAACUCUGUUAUUAGGGAAGAACAAAUGUGUAAGUAACUAUGCACGUCUUGACGGUACCUAAUCAGAAAGCCACGGCUAACUACGUG
rnacentral:rRNA from 1 species